rnacentral:rRNA from 1 species
UAAGGAAUAUUGGUCAAUGGAGGCAACUCUGAACCAGCCAUGCCGCGUGCAGGAAGACUGCCCUAUGGGUUGUAAACUGCUUUUAUCCGGGAAUAAACCUCAUUACGUGUAAUGAGCUGAAUGUACCGGAAGAAUAAGGAUCGGCUAACUCCGUGCCAGCAGCCGCGGUAAUACGGAGGAUCCAAGCGUUAUCCGGAUUUAUUGGGUUUAAAGGGUGCGUAGGCGGCCUGUUAAGUCAGGGGUGAAAGACGGUAGCUCAACUAUCGCAGUGCCCUUGAUACUGAUGGGCUUGAAUGGACUAGAGGUAGGCGGAAUGAGACAAGUAGCGGUGAAAUGCAUAGAUAUGUCUCAGAACACCGAUUGCGAAGGCAGCUUACUAUGGUCUUAUUGACGCUGAGGCACGAAAGCGUGGGGAUCAAACAGG